rnacentral:rRNA from 1 species
GAUGAACGCUGGCGGCGUGCCUAAUACAUGCAAGUCGAGCGAAGCGGGGACGGGUGAGUAACACGUGGAUAACCUCCUAUCAGACUGGGAUAACUUCGGGAAACCGGAGCUAAACCGGAUACUGAUAGAUGGAUCCGUGCUGCAUUAGCUGGUUGAUAAGGUAACGGGCUACAGAGGCAACGAUGGAUAGCCGACCUGAGAGAGUGAUCGUCCACCCGGGAACUGAGACAGCGUCCAGAGUCCUAAGGGAGGCAGCAGUAGGGCAUCGUCCGCAAUGGUCGGAAGCAUUACAGAGCGACGCCGCGUGAGUGAUGAAGGUCUUCGGAUCGUAAAGCACUGUUAUUAGGGAAGCGGUACCUAAUCAGAAAGCCCCGGCUAACUACGUGCCAGCAGCCGCGGUAAUAC